AAUAUUCUAUGUUUUAUAACCAUGGGGAGAAAGUGGUGCAAGAAAAAAAGCUGAGAAUUACAGAAGAAUAACUAUUCAAGAAGGAGGAGAGAAGAGAAGGAAAGAUCUGAAGUAGAGAUACUCUCUCAAACUAGGCAAAUGGUGACUCAUUCCCAUCUUCUCAUCCUGUGCAACUCCUAACCAUGCUCAUCUGUAAAUCCUCUAUCAAGAUGUAAAGUACUGCACCAUCUGUACAUGGAUACUUAAGUUGUUGGAAGAGAAACCAAAAGAGACAUUCAUAGGUUCUGAGGACCUAAGAGAAAAUGUAUCUUAAUAAAGAUAUUGAGUAUCUACUAAUUGACUUAAAG
rnacentral:lncRNA from 1 species